rnacentral:rRNA from 1 species
AUUGAACGCUGGCGGCAGGCCUAACACAUGCAAGUCGGACGGUAGCACAGAGAGCUUGCUCUUGGGUGACGAGUGGCGGACGGGUGAGUAAUGUCUGGGGAUCUGCCCGAUAGAGGGGGAUAACCACUGGAAACGGUGGCUAAUACCGCAUAACGUCGCAAGACCAAAGAGGGGGACCUUAGGGCCUCGCACUAACGGAAGAAACCAGAUGGGAUUAGCUAGUAGGCGGGGUAAUGGCCCACCUAGGCGACGAUCCCUAGCUGGCCUGAGAGGAUGACCAGCCACACUGGAACUGAGACACGGUCCAGACUCCUACGGGAGGCAGCAGUGGGGAAUAUUGCACAAUGGGCGCAAGCCUGAUGCAGCCAUGCCGCGUGUAUGAAGAAGGCCUUCGGGUUGUAAAGUACUUUCAGCGGGGAGGAAGGCGGUGCGGUUAAUAACCGUGCCGAUUGACGUUACCCGCAGAGGAAGCACCGGCUAACUCCGUGCCAGCCGCCGCCGUAAGAC